GCUUCACCCCGGACCAAGUUAAGCGGCAUCUGGAGAAAUACGGCCCCAAUGAGCUCCCGGCUGAGGAAGGGAAGUCCCUGUGGGAGUUGGUGGUAGAGCAGUUUGAAGACCUCCUGGUGCGGAUCCUU